CACGUAGGGGCCAAGCGUUGUCCGGAUUUAUUGGGCGUAAAGAGCUCGUAGGCGGCUCGGUAAGUCGGGUGUGAAACCUCCAGGCCCAACCUGGAGACGCCACCCGAUACUGCUGUGGCUAGAGUCCGGUAGGGGAGCGUGGAAUUCCUGGUGUAGCGGUGGAAUGCGCAGAUAUCAGGAGGAACACCGAUGGCGAAGGCAGGUCUCUGGGCCAUUACUGACACUGAGAAGCGAAAGCAUGGGGAGCGAACAGG
rnacentral:rRNA from 1 species